rnacentral:lncRNA from 1 species
CACGCGGCGGUUGCAGUCGGUCCUCUCAAACCGCGAAAUACAUUCCGGCUCCCUCGAGGAAGAAAAUAUCCUGGGGGAGAGGAUCCGACUUUACAUCGGACAAGUGUAAGGAGGAAGAAAAAGGGUGAAAAGAAAAAAAAAACGAGGAAGAAGAAAAAGAAGAAGCAACGAAGGAGAAGGGGGAGGUGGCGGAGGAGGAGGAGGAAGAAGAAGAAGAGGAAGAGGAGAAAAAUAGAUUAGAAAACGCGAACAAAUUAGGAAUUCGAUCGAUUUUUAUUCGAAUAUAAUCGUUAUAACGAGGGGAAAAUACGCUCACACAGAAGUAGAUCUACGUGUUAAUUAAGAUAAUCCAAGAUAGGAAAAUGCGCUUGCGUCCAUUCCUAAAAAGAGACAAGAAAAAAAAAACAAGAAAAUAUCUCUUACGCUUCUUAGUCCGAAAUUUAUUCGGUGCGGAACAAUUAAAUCGUACGGUAUUAUCUUCUCGUUUAAUCGUGCAUCUCUAAUUAAUUCUUUAAAGCACGAAUACAAUCAAAGAUUCACAAUAUUAUACACGUAUACAUAAACACAUCUAUUGCACACACUAAUCGUAAAACGAGAAAAUCCGUUCGUUAGAAAUUUCGAAAUAUUUGUCAAUCGAUUCUUUUUAACAUCGUCGUCAUCUGUGACAACAACUUUUUGGGCCUUCGAUUCAACGAUUACGAGUAAUUUCGACCGAGAGAGAGAGAUAGAGAGAGAUAUAGAGAGAGAUA